rnacentral:rRNA from 1 species
AGUGAACGCUGGCGGUAGGCCUAACACAUGCAAGUCGAACGGCCGCACGGUAAGCGCUCGCUCUUACUGGUGGCGAGUGGCGGACGGGUGAGGCAUGCAUCACCUUCUUCUUUUACGUGGAGGAUAACGUAGGACCACAUCCGAUACCACCGCAUACGUUCUACGGCUGAAUGCAGAAGUUCAUCGCACCUUGCGUGUCACAUUGAGCCGACGUCGGAUUAGCUAGUUGGCGAGGUAAAGGCCCACCAAGGCAACGAUACGUAGCUGGUCUGAGAGGAUGAUCAGCCACACUGGAACUGAGACACGGUCCAGACUCCUACGGGAGGCAGCAGUAGGGAAUAUUCGGCAAUGGGCGCAAGCCUGAUCCAGCCAUACCGCGUGAGUGAAGAAGGCCUUCGGAUUGUAAAGCUCUGUUAUUAGGGAAGAAAAGAAGCGUAAGAAAACGCCGCUGUUCUGACGGUACCCAAAGAGAAAGCACCGGCUAACUACGUG